rnacentral:rRNA from 1 species
AUACGUAGGGUGCAAGCGUUAAUCGGAAUUACUGGGCGUAAAGCGUGCGCAGGCGGUUUUGUAAGACAGUGGUGAAAUCCCCGGGCUCAACCUGGGAACUGCCAUUGUGACUGCAAGGCUGGAGUGCGGCAGAGGGGGAUGGAAUUCCGCGUGUAGCAGUGAAAUGCGUAGAUAUGCGGAGGAACACCGAUGGCGAAGGCAAUCCCCUGGGCCUGCACUGACGCUAAUGCACGAAAGCGUGGGGAGCAAACAGGAUUAGAUACCCUGGUAGUCCACGCCCUAAACGAUGUCAACUGGUUGUUGGGGAUUUAUUUUCUCAGUAACGAAGCUAACGCGUGAAGUUGACCGCCUGGGGAGUACGGCCGCAAGGUUAAAACUCAAAUGAAUUGACGGGG